AUGAACGCUAGCGACAGGCUAACACAUGCAAGUCGAGGGGUAACAGGGUAGCAAUACCGCUGACGACCGGCGCACGGGUGAGUAACGCGUAUGCAACCUGCCUAUAACUGGGGAAUAGCUCCCUGAAAGGGGAAUUAACACCGCAUAACACUAUUGAUUCGCAUGGAUUAGUAGUUAAAUGUAGCGAUACAGGUUAUAGAUGGGCACGCGUGACAUUAGCUAGUUGGUGAGGUAACGGCUCACCAAGGCUACGAUGUCUAGGGGUUCUGAGAGGAAGGUCCCCCCACACUGGUACUGAGACACGGACCAGACUCCUACGGGAGGCAGCAGUGAGGAAUAUUGGUCAAUGGGCGCAAGCCUGAACCAGCCAUGUCGCGUGCAGGAAGACUGCCCUAUGGGUUGUAAACUGCUUUUAUAGUAGAAGAAACACAUCUACGUGUAGAUGUCUGCCAGUAUACUAUGAAUAAGCAUCGGCUAACUCCGUGCCAGCAGCCGC
rnacentral:rRNA from 1 species